AUUCCUCGGUUCUCUUUUCAGUUUGUGAGCCUCUCGGUGCAGUGAGGAUAAAGGGGGCGGGGACGGCCUGUUGCUACCCAGACUUGCGGACCAGUCGUUAGCAUGGAUUUAUUAUAUUAUAUGACAGUCUCAUUACUUGGUUUUAUACUGAGUCUUACUACUUUCAUCGGGGAAACGACCAGAGCGCUUUCAGAGGAUGUCUCGAGUCCAUGCAAAGCUUCUGGUUUUCUAGGUGACAUAGCAUUAACGGAAGAGGAUUAUGCGAGGGAGAUGAUCCGAGCAAGGCGAACGAGGGAACAAUUCAGAAGGAGAAUAUUACAAGAAAGACAGACAAGAACCAGAGGCGCUCGUCAUCAUAUUAAAAAGAGAACGAUAGAAGAAGCGCAUGGGAGACACGUGCGAGCUGUGACAGCUAGACCAGAAAGAAGAUGGACUGAUGCCGUAAUACCUUACGAAAUCGACGGAAACUUUACAGGUAUUUUCAU